GUGCGAGGCGGGGGCUCUAACCACCGAGCUACAGGAUUUCCACAGGGUCUUGGCCCCUGUUUACUGAGGAAGGUCUCCGCUUAUGCUCAAAGGGUUCCGGUUUCCAGGGCCUUUCAAAGCUUCCCCGUUGUAAACCUUACGCACAAUCUGCAGCCGCCGUGAGACCGGGAUUGUUACCCUUUGGAAAGCGCUGAUUACUCCAGCCCUUGCCUUGCCUAACCUUUCGGCUCGGCCUGGGCGAAACAGGAAGGAUGGACGGGGCUCGCACUGAAGCGAAUCGCACAGGGACGAUAUCCUACCGAUCGCAGCACAACGUCUUGCACUGGACACAGCUACAGGAAACAUAUAACAAGCGGACUCGGACAGAGGGACCCACACGAUCAGCAAAGCUCCGCACAACAGCACGUUCUGAAAAUACAAGGAUAUUGUCACGGGUUCCCGAACGGGCGAACAGAGCGUCAGGUUAGUGUCCCAUCCAAAGGACAGCAUUAACAUCAAUCACAUCAAUGGUA